CCCCUAGAUGUCCUGGGCCGCACGCGCAAUACAAUGUAAAGUUCAGAAAGCAUAUCCUGUUCCGGAAGGCAAUGGGUAAUCUUUUCAAUAUUUUACGUGUUAGGGAUCGAUCUUUGCAAUUAUAGAUCUUGAACGAGGAAUACCUAGUAAGUGCAGCUCAUCAGGCUGUACUGAUUACGUCCCUGCCCUUUGUACACACCGCCCGUCGCUCCUACCGAUUUCGAGUGGACCGGUGAAUCUUUUGGAAUUAGAGUGCAAACUCAAACUAAGAUCGAUAAACCUUAUCACUUAGAGGAAGGAGAAGUCGUAACA
rnacentral:rRNA from 1 species